UGGGGGAUAUUGCACAAUGGGCGAAAGCCUGAUGCAGCGACGCCGCGUGGGGGAUGAAGGCCUUCGGGUUGUAAACUUCUUUUGCUCUGAACAAGGCAUGCUAAUGGGUGUGUUGAGUGUAGGGGUUGAUUAGCGCCGGCUAACUACGUGCCAGCAGCUGCGGUAAUACGUAGGGCGCGAGCGUUGUCCGGAAUUAUUGGGCGUAAAGGGCUUGUAGGUGGCUGGUUGCGUCUGUCGUGAAAGCUCAUGGCUUAACUGUGGGUUUGCGGUGGGUACGGGCUGGCUAGAGUGCAGUAGGGGAGGCUGGAAUUCCUGGUGUAGCGGUGGAAUGCGCAGAUAUCAGGAGGAAUACCGGUGGCGAAGGCGGGUCUCUGGGCUGUUACUGACACUGAGGAGCGAAAGCAUGGGGAGCGAACAGG
rnacentral:rRNA from 1 species